rnacentral:pre_miRNA from 1 species
UCUUACGGUUGAGAAAAGGAAGUGGUUCCUUGAAAUGGAAUCUAUUUCUAGUGAAGAUGCUAUAAA